AUGUGAUGUGUUAAAAAUUAACAAGGAAAAAGAUGAAAUUGAAGGCAUUUCAUUGGAUGUGUCUUAAAUCAAAUAUUUACAUUUGAGAGCAAAUGCCUUCUCGAAGAUGAAAAAAUUGAGAAUCCUCAAAGUUUUUAAUAGGCAAUGGUCUGAAACCCAGACAUGUAUAGAGCUUCCUUUUAGUCUUUACUCUUUUCCCAAUACAUUAAAAUAUUUUCAGUGGGAUCAUUACCCAUGUGAGUCUUUGCCAUUAGGCUUUUGUCCUGAAAACCUUGCUGAACUACGAAUGACAGGAAACAAUGUUACAAAGCUUUGGGACUGAGUACAGGAUCUUGUGAAUCUAAGGACAAUUAAUUUGAGUUGGUCAUUUGAAUUGAUGGAAUUGCCUGAUUUUUCUAUGGCACAUAAGCUUGAAAAUGUAUGUCUCUAUGAUUGUGUAAGUUUGAGGAGGGUCCAUCCAUCCAUUUUAUCUCGCCACACUCUUGUUGAAUUGGAUGUAUCUGGUUGCGGUAAAUUAGAGAGUCUUGAAAGCGAGACUCUUUUAGAAUCUCUCUCUGAUCUCAUGGUUGACUGUUGUGGCCUCAAGAAAUUAUGUUUGUCAUCAAAGGAAUUAAAACAUAUAGUUCUUACUGAAACUAGAAUCGAAAUAUUGCAUUUGC